rnacentral:rRNA from 1 species
GGAUUAGAUACCCUGGUAGUCCAUGCCGUAAACGAUGUGUGUUAGACGUUGGAAAUUUAUUUUCAGUGUCGCAGCGAAAGCGAUAAACACACCGCCUGGGGAGUACGACCGCAAGGUUAAAACUCAAAUGAAUUGACGGGGACCCGCACAAGUAGUGGAGCAUGUGGUUUAAUUCGAAGAUACGCGCAGAACCUUACCAACACUUGACAUGUUCGUCGCGAUUCUAAGAGAUUAGAGUUUUCGGUUCGGCCGGAUGAAACACAGGUGCUGCAUGGCUGUCGUCAGCUCGUGUUG